UUCACAUUAUCUUCAUUGAACAUCUCUGUCAAAUCCACUCACUAUAAAGCACUCAAGUACACUUUUUUUUUUUUUUUUCCUUUAACUUUCUCGAGAAGAUAAAAAUCUGAAUUUCCCAGAUUUUGGCAAAUCUUAUCUGUGACCUCCGCAAAAAAUAAAAUAAAAUAUGGCGAAUAUUCCUAUGGAUAUCAUCACCGACAUCUUCCUCCGUCUACCAGCAACAACGCUAGUCCGAUGUCGCGUCCUCUCAAAACCAUGCCUCUCCUUAAUCGACAGUCAAGAUUUCAUCUCAUCUCAUCUCAAUCACACACUCCGAUCCGGAGAUCACAUCAUGAUCUUACUACGUGGACCUCGUCUUCUCCGAACCGUAGACCUCGACGCACCGAAUAAAGUCUCCGACGUCGAGCAUCCUUUAAAAACCGGUGGUUUAACCGAAGUUUUCGGUUUUUGCAACGGUUUGAUCGGUUUAUCUAAUUCACCGACUGAUUUAGCGGUUUUUAAUCCAUCCACCCGGCAAAUCCACCGGUUACCAGCUGAACCGGUUGAUUUCCCGGACGGUUCGACUACUCGGGGUUACGUGUUUUACGGAUUAGGUUAUGACUCUGUUAACGAAGAUUACAAAGUUGUGAGGAUGGUUCAGUGUAAAGGUGGUAAAGCUGAUGAGUUGGUUUUUGGAUUCCCUUAUGAGAUUAAAGUCUUUAGCUUGAAGAAGAACUCAUGGAAGAGAGUUCAAAAAGUGAUUCCUGCGGUUCAGUUACUGUUCUACUUCUAUUACCAUCUGUUGUACCGUCGUGGCUACGGUGUUUUAGCUAGCAAUAGUCUUCAUUGGGUUAUGCCUCGUAGACCUGGACUUAUCUCGUUUAAUACUAUUAUUAGAUUUGAUCUUGACUCUGAUGAGUUUGCGAUUCUUGAUUUCCCUGAGAGUCUUGCUCAUGAGAAUCUUGAUAUUGGUGUGUUGGAUGGUUGUCUUUGUUUGAUGUGUAAUAACCAUGAGUUUAGCUAUGUUGAUGUUUGGGUUAUGAAGGAGUAUAACGUUGAAGAGUCUUGGAGUAAGCUGUUUAGGGUACCGAAACCGAAGAGUGUGGAGUCGUUUGAUUUUAUGAGACCUCUGCUUUAUUCCAAGGAGAGGGAUAAGGUUUUGUUGGAGAUAAACAAUGCGAAGCUUAUGUGGUUUGAUUUAGCGAGUAAGAGGUGUAGAACGCUUAGGAUAAAGGAUUGUGAUAGUUUGUAUAGCGCGGAACUCCUUGUGAGUAGUCUUGUUUUGGGGUGUAAAGGAGAUCCUGUUGAAGUUAUGCGCAGGAAAGAACGUAGAGCUCGAGAAGAUAAGAUUAUGCAAGAGGAGAGAAACAAGAGGGAUGAUUUUCUAUCCAAGGGAUUCAAGCUAGUGUUAUGAGCAGAGCAGAGGAACAGAGAAACCAAACCCAAAAUGCGAAGGGGGAAAGGAAGCAACUUAAUCAAAUCCCAUAAGAGGUCUUACUACUAACUCACUUAACCUAUGUACGUAAUUGUUAUUAGAAAUGGCUAAAAAGAAACUUCAUCAAAUUCCAUAGGAGGUCUUAGUACUAAUUCACUUAACCAAUGUAUGCUUAUGUCAUAAGAGAAGAUGUGUAGUAUGUGUAAUUGAUUGAAGAUAAUCUUAUAUGUAAACUAUUCUCUCAAAUGUUAGUUUCCUCAUUUAUAUGUAUCGGCAUUGAUGUGUGACUGUGUGUUAGAGGAAGACCACUGGGUAGAGAAUGGAGGCAAAUGCAAACGAAAAUAUCCACUCGAGGCACAUUCAAUUGGAGAAUAACAAGGUCAAUAUGAAACAAGAACAAGAUCAGUUGUCUACUUCACAUGUUCAAAUUCAUAUUCUUCUCUGUUAGAGAAGUUGCCUUUGUUUCUCUUUUUGUAAUACUGUAUGGUGUUCUUUCUCAAACCUUCCUUGUAAUUUGGCUUAUCAGUUUGCAGUUAAACAACGCGUAUACAUAAAGAAGAAACAAAUUGGACUA